AGUGAACGCUGGCGGUAGGCCUAACACAUGCAAGUCGAACGGCAGCACAGUAAGAGCUUGCUCUUACGGGUGGCGAGUGGCGGACGGGUGAGGAAUACAUCGGAAUCUACUUUUUCGUGGGGGAUAACGUAGGGAGACUUACGCUAAUACCGCAUACGACCUACGGGUGAAAGCAGGGGAUCUUCGGACCUUGCGCGAUUGAAUGAGCCGAUGUCGGAUUAGCUAGUUGGCGGGGUAAAGGCCCACCAAGGCGACGAUCCGUAGCUGGUCUGAGAGGAUGAUCAGCCACACUGGAACUGAGACACGGUCCAGACUCCUACGGGAGGCAGCAGUGGGGAAUAUUGGACAAUGGGCGCAAGCCUGAUCCAGCCAUACCGCGUGGGUGAAGAAGGCCUUCGGGUUGUAAAGCCCUUUUGUUGGGAAAGAAAAGCAGCAGGUUAAUACCCCGCUGUUCUGACGGUACCCAAAGAGUAAGCACCGGCUAACUUCGUG
rnacentral:rRNA from 1 species